GAUAGAGGGUGCAAACGUUGUUCGGAAUUACUGGGCGUAAAGCGCGUGUAGGCGGCUAUGCAAGUCGGAUGUGAAAGCCCUCGGCUCAAUCGGGGAAGUGCAUCCGAAACUGCAAAGCUAGAGUCUCGGAGAGGAUCGUGGAAUUCUCGGUGUAGAGGUGAAAUUCGUAGAUAUCGAGAGGAACACUGGUGGCGAAGGCGGCGAUCUGGACGAUGACUGACGCUGAGACGCGAAAGCGUGGGGAGCAAACAGG
rnacentral:rRNA from 1 species